GUGGACUGGGGAGCAAAGGAGAGCCCAGCGGAGCGGGUUGUGCAAGCGCCAGGCUCUGCACCACCCAAGCAAACAGCUGCCAAGGCCGAGCGCAGCUCCAGGCACCCUGCUCGGUGCAAAUCUUUCAGGACGUGCAAUCAAGGCGUGCAAUUAAAUGAAAGAUCCAGCAGCUCAAACCCUCCUCUCCCGGGAGCAGCUGCUUGCAGCGAUUUGUGCUGCAGCGGCCAACGCAGGGCUGCAACAGAGCCGGCUCCUAUUUAAGCGGCAGGGACAGAGCAUCGAGGAAGACGCUGCUCCAGCGGGAAGGCUGCAGCAGGGGCCUAGGAGAGACCAGAAACCCCUGGCUUGGGGACGUGCAACAGCAACCGUCAACAGUGACGCUGCAGCAGGUGCCCAGG